rnacentral:rRNA from 1 species
UACGUAGGUGGCAAGCGUUGUCCGGAUUUACUGGGCGUAAAGAGCGCGCAGGCGGUCGUUCAAGUCGCGUGUGAAAGCCCCCGGCUCAACUGGGGAGGGUCACGCGAUACUGAUCGACUGGAAGGCAGGAGAGGGUAGUGGAAUUCCCGGUGUAGUGGUGAAAUGCGUAGAUAUCGUGAGGAAUACCAGAGGCGAAGGCGGCUACCUGGACAAUUGCUGACGCUCAGGCACGAAAGCGUGGGGAGCAAAAGGG